rnacentral:rRNA from 1 species
CACGUAGGGCGCAAGCGUUGUCCGGAAUUAUUGGGCGUAAAGAGCUCGUAGGCGGACUGUUGCGUCCGCUGUGAAAAGCUGGGGCUUAACCCUGGCCUUGCAGUGGAUACGGGCAGACUAGAGGUAGGUAGGGGAGAAUGGAAUUCCCGGUGUAGCGGUGAAAUGCGCAGAUAUCGGGAGGAACACCGGUGGCGAAGGCGGUUCUCUGGGCCAUUACUGACACUGAGAAGCGAAAGCAUGGGGAGCGAACAGG